rnacentral:rRNA from 1 species
CCGAGCGUUGCUCGGAUUACUGGGCGUAAAGGGUGUGUAGGAGGUCGGAAAAGUCGAAUGUGAAAUCCCUCUGCCUAACGGAGGAACUGCGUUCGAAACUGUCUGGCUAGAGGUUCGGAUGGGGAAGCGGAACUCUCGGUGUAUCAGUGAAAUGCGUAGAUAUCGAGAGGAACACCGGUGGCGAAGGCGGCUUCCUGGACGAAACCUGACUCUGAAACACGAAAGCUAGGGGAGCAAACGGGAUUAGAUACCCCGGUAGUCCUAGCUGUAAACGGUGUGCGUUAGGUGUUGGCGGAUUCGACCCCGCCGGUGCCGAAGCUAACGCAUUAAACGCACCGCCUGAGGAGUACGGUCGCAAGGCUAAAACUCAAAGAAAUUGACGGGGGCCCGCACAAGCGGUGGAGCAUGUGGCUUAAUUCGAUGCAACGCGAAGAACCUUACCUGGCCUUGACAUGCAGCGUUCAGUCCAGGAAACGGGAUGGCCCGCAAGGGCGAGCUGCACAGGUGCUGCAUGGCUGUCGUCAGCUCGUGUCGUGAGAUGUUGGGUUAAGUCCCCCAACGAGCGCAACCCCUGUGUUUAGUUGCCGAAAGGUUCUCUAGACAGACUGCCCUCUUCAAGGGGGAGGAAGGUGGGGACGACGUCAAGUCAGGAUGGCCCUUAUGGCCAGGGCUGCACACGUGCUACAAUGCUCGGCACAAAGGGAAGCAAGACCGCGAGGUGGAGCAAAUCCCCAAAACGGAGCCCAGUUCGGAUUGAAGGCUGCAACUCGCCUUCAUGAAGCCG